rnacentral:sRNA from 1 species
AGCACUUUAUUAUUUGCACACUUUUUUUUUUCAGCUCUCUGAUGUAAAGGAUGGAGUAAAUCAAGCAGCACCUGCAUUUGGAUUUGGCAGUAGUCAAGCAGCAACAUUUGUGUCGCCAGGCUUUCCAGUCAAUAACAGCAGCAGUGAUAAUGCUCAGAACUUUAGUUUUAAAACAAACUCUGGAUUUGCCACUGCCUCUUCUGGAAGCCCUGCUGGUUUUCGGAGUUCCCCAGCAUUUGGAGCUGCAGCCUCUACCAGUUCAGCUAUCUCUACUUCUGCUCCAGCUUUUGGAUUUGGGAAACCUGAAGUCACCUCGGCUGCAUCAUUUUCAUUCAAAAGCCCUGCAGCUUCCAGUUUUGGAUCACCUGGAUUUUCAGGACUUCCAGCUUCCUUGGCAACAGGUCCUGUCAGAGCUCCAGUGGCCCCAGCCUUUGGAGGUGGCAGUUCUGUGGCUGGUUUUGGUAGUCUGGGCUCACAUUCUCACGCUGCUUUUUCUAAGCCAUCCAGUGACACUUUUGGAAAUAGCAGCAUAUCCACUUCUCUCUCAGCCUCAAGCAGCAUCAUUGCAACAGAUAAUGUGUUAUUCACACCCAGAGAUAAACUAACAGUAGAAGAACUCGAACAAUUUCAAUCCAAGAAAUUUACUCUGGGAAAAAUUCCAUUAAAGCCUCCACCUCUGGAACUUCUAAAUAUUUAAAAGGGCAAUUUUAAAUCCAAAAAAUAAUGAUGUUUAAAAUUGUUUUGAGUGAUUCAUAUAGAGAUGUAUAUAUGCAUAC